CAUGAAACACACACCGUUUUUCUUCGCAUUCUUUUUUACCAUUCCCCUGAAUGGGAGGCGUUUCGUCGUGUGAAACAGAAUGCGAAGACGAACAAUAAGGCCUCCCAAAUCGGGGGGCCUUUUUUAU
rfam:Shigella dysenteriae Sd197, complete genome.